ACUUGGUGAUGUGGGCAUUUGCGCAGAAGGUCCCUAAAGCGCUCUCAUGUCUUGAAAAAUUGUUCCUCAUCUAAUCGUGAGAAACUAGUGAUUGCCUUCCUCAACU